AGGACGAACGCUGGCGGCGUGCUUAACACAUGCAAGUCGAGCGGAAAGGGCCCUUCGGGGUACUCGAGCGGCGAACGGGUGAGUAACACGUGAGCAACCUGCCCCUGGCUCUGGGAUAGCUCCGGGAAACCGGGAUUAAUACCGGACAUGACCUGCCGCGGCAUCGCGGCGGGUGGAAAGUUUUUCGGCCAGGGAUGGGCUCGCGGCCUAUCAGCUUGUUGGCAGGGUAAUGGCCUACCAAGGCGACGACGGGUA
rnacentral:rRNA from 1 species